rnacentral:rRNA from 1 species
AUUGAACGCUGGCGGCAGGCUUAACACAUGCAAGUCGAGCGAGCGGCGGACGGGUGAGUAAUGUCUGGGAAACUGCCUGAUGGAGAGGGAUCACUACUGGAAACGGUAGCUCAUACCGCAUACCCUCAGCUAUGCCCAGAUGGGAUUAGCGAGUAGGUGGGGUAAUGGAUCACCUCGGCCCAGAUCCCUAGCUGGUCUGAGAGGAUGACCAGCCACACUGUAACUGAGACACGGGCCAGACUCCUACGGGAGGCAGCAGUGGGGAAUAGUGGACAAUGGGCGAAAGCCGGAUGCAGCCAUGCCGCGUGUGUGAAGAAGGCCUUCGGGUUGUAAAGCACUUUCAGCGAGGAGGCGUUACUCGCAGAAGAAGCACCGGCUAACUCCGUGCCAGCAGCCGCGGUAAUUC